rnacentral:snoRNA from 1 species
UUGUGAUGUGAUGAUGACAAAAGACUAUACCCAGCUCUUUGAGAUCUUUUCUAGGUCAGGGAGAUACAUAUGUUCAUUUUGUCUGAGCUCAAAC